UACGUAGGUGACAAGCGUUGUCCGGAAUUACUGGGCGUAAAGCGCACGUAGGCGGAUAUUUAAGUCAGGGGUGAAAUCCCAGAGCUCAACUCUGGAACUGCCUUUGAUACUGGGUAUCUUGAGUAUGGAAGAGGUAAGUGGAAUUGCGAGUGUAGAGGUGAAAUUCGUAGAUAUUCGCAGGAACACCAGUGGCGAAGGCGGCUUACUGGUCCAUUACUGACGCUGAGGUGCGAAAGCGUGGGGAGCAAACAGG
rnacentral:rRNA from 1 species